AAGUCGUAACAAGGUUUCCGUAGGUGAACCUGCGGAAGGAUCAUUACUAAAUCCACGAAAAUACACAUGUUGAAACGCUGUUGUGAGAUGGUUCGGGGAUUACAUCCGCGAAUCAAAACACGCAAUUACAAUCACCAUGACGUGCCAAUGGACAAUAAUUUAGAAUAGCAUCUAUAAAGCAUAACUUUUAACAAUGGAUCUCUUGGCUCUU
rnacentral:misc_RNA from 1 species